rnacentral:lncRNA from 1 species
CAGAGCUGCGAACAAAAGUUCCAAGGAAAUAGAAGCUUCAGAGAAGGCUGUUGGCAGGGUACAACAGAGCUCCUGGCUGCCCUGCUGGGAAGGCUGCUGAGUGAAACUGCUGCACCAUUACAACCACUUGUAACCUGGAGUAUGACAGAAAACACUGCUGCAAAUCCGUGUGGAGUGGUUGCCACAGGGAAGGAGGUGGGGAGCUCCCAGAGGAAGCCUGAAAUUAGGCAUCACCCAGAUGUUCUGCAUGAAUCCAAGCCACGUGGUAAGCAAGCCAUUUAAAAAUACUUCAGGAGAG